rnacentral:sRNA from 1 species
GCUGGGCGUGGUGGCUCACACCUGUAAUCCCAGCAGUUUGGGAGGCUGAGGCAGGAGGAUUGCAAGUUCAAGAAUAGUCUCAAUAACUUUGUGAGGGCCUCAGCAACAUAGCAAGACCCUGUCUCAA